CCGUUGGACGUAGCUCGAGAGUAGUUCGACUCCUGGACGUCAGGACGACGCUGGCGGCGUGCUUAACACAUGCAAGUCGAACGGAAAGGCCCCCACCUUGGUGGGGGUGCUCGAGUGGCGAACGGGUGAGUAACACGUGGGUGAUCUGCCCUGUACUUCGGGAUAAGCUUGGGAAACUGGGUCUAAUACCGGAUGGGACCAUGGUUUAGUGUCUCAUGGUGGAAAGAUUUUUUGGUGCAGGAUGAGCUCGCGGCCUAUCAGCUUGUUGGUGGGGGUAAUGGCCUACCAAGGCGUCGACGGGUAGCCGGCCUGAGAGGGUGGACGGCCACAUUGGGACUGAGAUACGGCCCAGACUCCUACGGGAGGCAGCAGUGGGGAAUAUUGCACAAUGGGCGCAAGCCUGAUGCAGCGACGCCGCGUGGGGGAUGACGGCCUUCGGGUUGUAAACUCCUUUCGUUAGGGACGAAGCCGCUACCUUUUUUUGGGUGUGGUGACGGUACCUUUGUUAAGAAGCACCGGCUAACUACGUG
rnacentral:rRNA from 1 species